UACAGAGGUCUCGAGCGUUGUUCGGAUUCAUUGGGCGUAAAGGGCGCGUAGGCGGCGGGGUAAGUCUGGUGUGAAAUCUCGGAGCUCAACUCCGAAAUUGCACUGGAUACUGCUCUGCUAGAGGGCUGGAGAGGAGAUCGGAAUUCACGGUGUAGCAGUGAAAUGCGUAGAUAUCGUGAGGAAGACCAGUGGCGAAGGCGGAUCUCUGGACAGCUCCUGACGCUGAGACGCGAAAGCGUGGGGAGCAAACAGG
rnacentral:rRNA from 1 species